rnacentral:lncRNA from 1 species
GCCCGCCGGCCCGUCUCCGGUCCAGCCCCUUUGCACGGACGGGGCCGGGGGGCUCCCUGACUCUGCAUUUUUACCCCAACACUGUGCAACACCUUCGGCAGGAUUUUUCAGGGGUCUAACGUUCUUGAAGCCCGGAGUGAGGAGUUUUUUUAGUGUUCCCCUUGGAGAAUGGAACCCUUAAUUGACUCUUACUGCAUCUUGGGAUGGGCAGAGGGGAGGUGCUGAUAAAAGUAAUCCUAGACGGCUAUAGAAUAUAACGAUCUGGCUGUGUGAGGCUGCGAAAGCAGGAAAAAUGGAGAGCUAAGGUCACGUUAUGAGAAGAGCGUGGAUGGGAGAUGACCGUGUUCAUCUUUGGAAGACCGUCCGCUGUGUGUGCUGAUUCACGGCUUCUCCAAAACGAGUUGGGCCAGGAAACUCGAGGAAUGCAAAGACUGAAGAAUGAGACCUCUCCAGGGAAGGGAUACCAUCACUGAUCUAAUCCGUGAAAAAUGAAGCAUCUGAGAAAAGCUAGGAAGAACCAGAUGUCUGCAGAACCGUUUAUGCCUCCUUCCUGUAUAAAGCUUCCAUUUUCAAUCACUGAAAUCUCAUUUAUUUAUCAAAUAUUUUUAAGAGACUAAAUGGACAUAUUUUCAGUCUUCUCCUCUCUAAGUCAUAUUCCCCAGUAGACUUUGCACAAGUAUAGCUCGAGAGGGGGGAGAAUGAAGUCUGCCUUGGGAAGGAUAAUAUGAGGAAAUGGAGAUCUCUGAUUCAUAGGAAGUAGUACAAGGAAGCCUUAUUAUUGGAGGAGAAUGUAGAAGGAGUGUGGGAGAGAAGAGGAAGAUGUUUGUGUUACAAACAUCCCGGCUUUUUUGCCAUAUUUCCUGCUUAGAUCUCUGAAAGCAGACCAUGUUUUUUCUGUUUGUUGGUUUGGUUUGGGGUUUUUUUUUUGAGGAAUAUUAGCCAUGACCUAACAUCUGUCACCAACUCUCUUUUUGCUGAGGAAGACUGGCCCUGAGCUAGCAUCCGUGCCCAUCUUCCUCUGCUUUAUAUGUGGGAUGCCUGCAACAGCAUCACUUGAUGAAUGGUACACAGGUCUACACCUGGGAUCCGAACCGGCGAACCCUGGACUGCCGAAGCAGAACGUG